AGCCAAACGUAAACAAACCAAGCCUGACACUCGUGCUGGACGCCGCCCACGGGACCCCGCCACCCAGCGCCCUUUCCCUCCCACUGGUCAUCAGUGGAUGGCAGACAUGAGUGAAGCAGUCCUCUGGCUGCCACAGCAGGUUGGGGACCUGUACCACUGACACUGCUCCAAUGGAACCAGACUUGAACGGUGCCAGGGAGACCAACGCUGUGUGAGUGUCCCAGUGGCUUACUGUGCUGCGCCAAGGUGUUGACAAGUAACGUGGAGGUUGAGCCGCUGGACCCACCACCCAUCGGCAAGUGUUCCAGGAGGCAAGAAGGAGUGACUCUACACCAUGGAACUUUGACAGACCUCCUCCUCCUGCCUUCAAGUCUGGCCAAGUCAUCAGUGGAUGGCAGACAUGAGUGAAGCAGUCCUCUGGCCGCCACAGCAGGUUGGGGACCUGUAACACUGACACUGCUCCAAUGGAACCAGACUUGAACGGUGCCAGGGAGACCAACGCUGUGUGAGUGUCCCAGUGGCCUACUGUGCUGCGCCAAGGUGUUGACAAGUAACGUGGAGGUUGAGCCGCUGGACCCACCACCCAUCGGCAAGUGUUCCAGGAGGCAAGAAGGAGUGACUCUACACCAUGGAACUUUGACAGACCUCCUCCUCCUGCCUUCAAGUCUGGCCAAGAUGUGUGAAGAAGAGGAAGGCUAGGAAGGCUCAGGAGGAAGGAGAGUCCCUCACUGCAUUGAGACUCAAGGGAAGGAGCCGAGAUGAGACCAGACUCAGCCCUCCAGUGAGCCCGGGUGACCACCAGGGGGACACCCACGCACCUCAUGGCUUAGGAGAAAAUGCAUGAAGGUGGUGGGUGAGUGAAGCAACGCACCCCCUGUGUAUGCUCAGGUCCCAGGCUACGUCAGGUCAGGGGCUGCCUCAAGAACAGGUCAUUUCUCUCCACACUUUCCUCCAUUUUUCUCCUGUUUUCUCUACCUCUUCCUCCUUUCCUCCUAUGCCCAAAAAUUGCUUAAUCUUUCCUCUUCCUCCUCCUCUUCGUUCCUCUCCUAUCUCCACUUUUAUCAAGGUCUGUGUAUUUCUCCAAUGUAAUUUUGGUGGUUUCAUUAUUUCCUCCUCCAAGUUCAAGUCCAUUUUUCUCCCUUUUCCUUCCUCUCUUCCUCCUUUCCUCCUAUACCAAAAAAUAGCUUAAUCUUUCCUCUUCCUCCUCAUCCUUUUCAUUUCCCUGUUAUCUCCACUUUUAUCAAGGUCUGUGUAUUUCUCUGGCAUAAUUUUGGUGGUUUCAUUCAUUUCCUCCUCCAAGUUCAAGUCCAUUUUCCUCCACUUUCCACAACCUCUUCCUCCUUUUCUCCUACACCAAAAAAUAGCUUACUCUUUCCUUUUCCUCCUCCUCCUUUUCAUUCCUCUCCUAUCUCCA